UAGCUCAGUCAGUUGAGCGUGGUGCUAACAACACUAAGGUUACGGGUUCGAUUCCCGU
rfam:Apaloderma vittatum contig38057, whole genome shotgun sequence.